rnacentral:ncRNA from 2 species
UUCUUAUCGAGAAAGGUGGAGGGACUGGCCCGACGAAACCUUAGCAGCAGACUCUCUAAAGUACUGUGCUAAUUCCAGAAGCUAUUCGGCUUAAAGAUAAGAA